AAGUCUUUUGGGUCUUUGAUUUGGCCCUUACUCUUGCUGAAUUCUUCUGAAUACUUCACACUGAAUAGCUUUUUGAGUAAAGGGCUGCAGGGAGAGGCUCCCUGCCUUCUGAAAUCUGCAUGGCAGAAAGCAGGUGUUGGGGAAAACAAGCUAAAGGGAACUUACCAUAUUUUGAACUGAAGCUGUACUACCUGUCAGGAGGCACUUGGAAGCACUAGCUAAACAACCUUUCCCCCACACCACAAAAGGACCACACAGCUGGCACCUGGAGAGAAAAAGGCUGCCAAACCACAAGCUGACACUGAUAAGAUUGUAAUGCUAUGUUGUUGAUGGUCUUUUUUUUUCCCGUUCUACCUCCUCCAUCCUCUUUGAUGACAACAGCGCAGUUGUUAGCUGCACAACCCUGAGGGUUGUUUUCUCUGAGAGUGGCUGUUCCAGCUACUCCUGUUAUUUGACCGCAGGUUAGGUGAGUGCUGCAGCCAAGCCCAGGGGCACACUGACAAGUGGGGAACAGCAGGUGCUGUCCCCUGGCCUAUCGCCACCCAGCUGAUUUCCAACCACCACCCAGUACUUUUUUAGCAAAGCUCAAGCCCUACCCCACUGAAUCUACACCCUCCAGGACUGCAAGUGGACUUCAGUUCCCACCAGUAUGAAUUUAGAACAAUUGAAGACAAGCAAAUUGAUGUUAUACUGCAGCACAGAAAUGACGUUCUACUGCAUUGAGAAGGGGAGUGCAAAAGGGAGGAGGCAGGAAACACAUCAAGUGACACUGGACUAGGACAGCAGACAAGCUGCCACAACAGAGUCCUGAAGAACCUAGAUGAGUAGUAAAAUUACCAGUACCGUGCUCUUAAAAUACUAAGAACAACAACUCAUGCUGCAGCUCAAAAUCUUCGCCAGUAUAACUGAGAAGGAAUGCCAAGUGAAGGAGGAAACUGCAGCAAGUCAUUUAGGAAGUGGCACUCUGAAUUGACAGUGGAUCAAGACAGGACAACCUCAGUACAAACAUUCCACUCCAAGCUACAUGAACUUUAUGGAAAUUCAAAAUAACAUUCUGAAUUUCAGCAGUCCAAAAUUUUACUGUGAUUUUUGGAAAGCUAAAACACAGCUGGUUAAACAUAAAUGGCCUUUGUGUUCCCUUGCUACAAUUGUUCACGUUGAAGUUCAUCAAACCAUUCUGCUGAAACCUUGGCAAACUGGAAUGCCAGGCAGCAUGGCACCUCAAAAGCGAUUUUGAGUUCACUACAACAACAUAUUUAAAACACACCAGGGUAAUGGGCUAAAUACAGUAUAAAAGCUCCAACUUCGUAUGCGAUGAGCUUUAUUAAGUACAGGUCCAACUGCAUCUUGGCCAGACGAGUGUGGUCUGUACAGGUACACUACUUUGAAGUUUUUCUGGUCCUCUAAGACAAUUGGCAUAAGCUUUAGAACAACUUAAGUAUUGAUUUGCUGUACACUCUGUGGGUUUUUUUCCUUUAAUUUGUGAAAGCCUAUAAUUCUGAAAAUGGCAACCAAAACAUUCCUUACUCCACUGAGCUGUUUAAAGCAGGCCAAAUUCUGAAAGCUAGUGGUUGAGGGGACAGAUCAUCUGCUGAUGUAAGCCAGCAUGGUGCUAGUAAUAUGGCAGUGGAGUAGUGCCAGUUUACAUCAGCUAAUAAACCAGCCAUACUGUCACAACAGA